rnacentral:tRNA from 2 species
GCAAAUGUAGUUCAAUGGUAGAACAUUAGCUUGCCAUGCUAAAUACGGGAGUUCGAUUCUCCUCAUUUGCUCCA